rnacentral:lncRNA from 1 species
UAACAUGGUUCGAUGUAGAAGGAGCAGACUCCUGCAAAACCAAAGGAACCAAACACAGAGCAUAAACACAAAUGUUUUAUGCAAGAAACAUAGCUUCAACACAGUUAUUUAAUCAUAGAAAGUUACCGCAUCUUUCUUGUUUUCUUUCAAUUACUUGGACUGGUUGCUUGUCCUGUCUAAGAGAUUGCUCGAAGAAGAACUCAUAACCGCUUCUUCUGUGGCCUGCAAAACCAAUGGAACCAAACAAAGAGCAUAAACACAAAUGUUUUUUGUAAAAGACAUAGCUUCAACACAGUUAUUUAAUCGUAGAAGGUUACCGCAUCUUUCUUGUUUUCUUUCACUUCCUUUGCCUGCUUGCUUGUCCUGUCUACAAGAUUGCUCGAAGAAGAACUCAUAACCGCUUCUUCCGUGGCCUGCAAAACCAAAGGAACCAAACAAAGAGCAUAAACACAAAUGUUUUAUGCAAAAAACAUAGCUUCAACACAGUUAUUUAAUCAUAGAAAGUUACCGCAUCUUUCUUAUUUUCUUUCACUUCUUAACCGCUUCUUCUGUGGCCUGCAAAACCAAAAGAACCAAACACAGAGCAUAAACACAAAUGUUUUAUGCAAAAAACAUAGCUUCAACACAGUUAUUUAAUCAUAGAAAGUUACCGCAUCUUUCUUGUUUUCUUUCAAUUACUUGGACUGGUUGCUUGUCCUGUCUAAGAGAUUGCUCGAAGAAGAACUCAUAACCGCUUCUUCCGUGGCCUGCAAAACCAAAGAAACCAAACACAGAGCAUAAACACAA